AACGAACGCUGGCGGCAUGCCUAACACAUGCAAGUCGAACGAGACCUUCGGGUCUAGUGGCGCACGGGUGCGUAACGCGUGGGAACCUGCCCUUAGGUUCGGAAUAACUCCCCGAAAGGGGUGCUAAUACCGGAUAAUGUCUUCGGACCAAAGAUUUAUCGCCUUUGGAUGGGCCCGCGUUGGAUUAGCUAGUUGGUAGGGUAAAAGCCUACCAAGGCGACGAUCCAUAGCUGGUCUGAGAGGAUGAUCAGCCACACUGGGACUGAGACACGGCCCAGACUCCUACGGGAAGCAGCAGUGGGGAAUAUUGUACAAUGGGCGAAAGCCUGAUCCAGCAAUGCCGCGUGAGUGAUGAAGGCCUUAGGGUUGUAAAGCUCUUUUACCCGGGAUGAUAAUGACAGUACCGGGAGAAUAAGCUCCGGCUAACUCCGUG
rnacentral:rRNA from 1 species